rnacentral:tRNA from 1 species
UAGGAUAAUAGUUAAUAUUAACAUUAAAUUUGCAAUUUAAAAAUAUUGGAAAUUCCAAUUUAUCUU